rnacentral:tRNA from 1 species
GCCUGGGUGGCUCAGUCGGUUAAGCGUCCGACUUCAGCUCAGGUCGUGAUCUCACGGCUUGUGGGUUCGAGCCCCACGUCGGGCU